AAACCCCCUCGCCGAAAGACUAAGGUUUCCUGAUCAACGCUAAUCGGAUCAGGGUCAGUCGGGUCCUAAGGCUCAGCCGAACGGCGAUGCCGAUGGCAGAAACGGUUAAUAUUCCGUUACUACCUUCAGGAGUGACGUGGAGACGCAGUAGUGACAGUGCCGCCAUCUGACGGAAUAGAUGGUUGAAGGGUGUAGGAGUCGAUCAUGGCAGGCAAAUCCACCAUGAGAUCCGAACCUGAUAGUAUGCCGCGUCCUUCGGGACAAGGCAAUAGUGCGCGUAAGCAUGCUGCCGAGAAAAUCCGCUAAACUUAAUCCUGCAGGUACCCGUACCGCAAACGGACACACGUAGUCGGGAUGAAUAUUCUAAGGCGCUUGAGUGAUUCACGGUUAAGGAACUAGGCAAAUUGACCCUGUAACUUCGGGAUAAAGGGUCCCAACGAGAGUUGGGCGCAGAGAAUAGGUCCAGGCAACUGUUUAACAAAAACACAGGGCUGUGCCAAAUUGAAAGAUUACGUAUACAGCCUGACACCUGCCCGGUGCUGGAAGGUUAAGAGGAGAUGUCAUCGCAAGAGAAGCAUUGAAUUGAAGCCCCAGUAAACGGCGGCCGUAACUAUAACGGUCCUAAGGUAGCGAAAUUCCUUGUCGGGUAAGUUCCGACCUGCACGAAUGGUGUAAUGAUCUGGACGCUGUCUCAACCGUGAGCUCAGUGAAAUUGUAGUAUCGGUGAAGAUGCCGAUUACCCGCGAUGGGACGAAAAGACCCCGUGAACCUUUACUAUAGCUUAACAUUGAAUUUGGGUAAUUGAUGUGUAGGAUAGGCCGGAGACUUUGAAGCAGGUACGCCAGUAUUUGUGGAGUCGCUGUUGAAAUACGGCCCUUUGAUUAUUUGAGUUCUAACCCGUGGUACGGGGACACUGUUUGGUGGGUAGUUUGACUGGGGUGGUCGCCUCCAAAAGUGUAACGGAGGCUUCUAAAGGUGCCCUCAGGACGAUUGGUAACCGUCCGUAGAGUGUAAUGGCAUAAGGGCGCUUGACUGGGAGACAGACAAGUCGAUCAGGUAGGAAACUAGAGCAUAGUGAUCCGGUGUUUCCGUAUGGA
rnacentral:rRNA from 1 species